rnacentral:lncRNA from 13 species
CCUGAUAAACAGGCCCGCCAACUGUCCUGAUAAACAGGCCCGCCAACUGGCCUGAUAAACAAGCCCGCCAACUGGCCUGAUAAACAGGCCUGCCAACUGGCCUGAUAAACAAGCCUGCCAACUGUCCUGAUAAACAGGCCCGCCAACUGUCCUGAUAAACAGGCCUGCCAACUGGCCUGAUAUAAACAAGCCUGAUAAACACUGCCUUCACCACAGUCCUGCUCUGUGUCUUGCAGAUCUAUCUCUUUCUGCUUCCAUCUUUCUCUCCAAUAAACUUUCCCAGAGAGCGUAUGUUGAGGGAAAACAACAACGGAGCGAGAGACGAGGAGGGGAGAGCUGGAAAGUUACCGGGAUAAGUCUCCCUGGAGUCAGCAGUCUCCCCGGUGAUACUGACAUUCUGUCUCUGUCUUUCUCUCUCCUCUCUUGGCCAUUUCUAAAGGGCUGUCGGUGGACAUGACAGCCCGCAGCGCUGGGGANNNNNNNNNNGGAAGGGUUACCGCUGCACCACCGAGGCUGAGGAUGAGGAGGAGGCGGCUCGGGUAGCAGAGGCGGAAAAGAAGGAUCUGGAGAUGUGUACAGAGCUGAACGACACCUACAGCGAGAGCAACGACGACACCGUGGGACAGAUCGUUCAUUACAUCAUGAAGAAUGAAGGUAACUAGGCAACAAUACAAUAACCACUGAGUGUUUAUGGAUAGUGGAUAACUCUGUCUCCUCUCUCCUGACAACCAUACUAUAACUAGUGUCUAUGACCACUCUACUGUCUCCUAUUGACAACAAUACUAUAACUAGUGUCUAUGACCACUCUACUGUCUCCUAUUGACAACAAUACUAUAACUAGUGUCUAUGACCUCUCUACUGUCUCCUCCUGACAACAAUACUAUAACUAGUGUCUAUGACCACUCUACUGACAACAAUACUAGAACUAGUGUCUAUGGACCACUGAACAGUUGUCAUGGUUAUGUCAGACCACUGAACAGUUGUCAUGGUUAUGUCAGACCACUUGGUGCUGAGCUGCCUCCCUCUCCUAUUACACUGUCUUUCACACUCUGAAGCUACAGGAGGUGUGUGUGUGUGUGUGUGUUUAACAUCCGGUGAGAGGUGAGUAGGUCUGUGGUUCUACAUGGUACACUAAUUACUGAAGCUGCUGUGUGGUUACAAUAGAUUGUAAACACAGGAGCUUCCUACAAUGUUGGAAUUCCCUAUCAUCCUAUUGUAUUACAAGGUUAUCACAAGUGUAUUGAUGGCAACCGUGCCAUUGACUCACCCUCAUUAGGUGACGUUGUGUGACCUAUGCACGUGCACACACCUACAUUCUGUGAGUCAGUCUUGAUAGUAUUGCCAGUCAGGAUCGAGUAUAGUAUUGUCAGUCUCGAUAGUAUUGCCUGAUUAUGACGAAACAGGAAGUCUCCAAGUCAGCCUUUUCCUGCUCACGUUGGCAUGCUGCACAAAGCCUUAGGGACUCGUUACUGAUUUAUACUCUCCUUCCUUCCAGGUGGUCACAAAGGUGUGUUGAAAUGCCCUCUGGUCAGACAUAAGUGAUUUAAUAUGAUGCUAGACUUCUAGUGUAGUACACAGUCUUAGUUUGUGGGGAAAUCAGCCUUAUUUUGACCGGCGAGAGGAAACAGGAUGUUCACAUGGUCAUGUGAAGUCGGACGUGACUCCGAUGUUUCCACAGGUCUUUCCUCAUCUUUUAGUUAUUCUAUAUAUAGUUUUUCUCCACUGAAGUGUUGGCCAACACAGUGUCUUCAGAAAGUAUUCAGACCCCUUGACCUUUUUCCACAUUUUUGUUACGUUACAGCCUCAUUCUAAAAAUGAUUACAUUUGGGGGUUUUUCCGCUCAUCAAUCUACACACAAUACCCUGUAAUGACAUCACAAUACCCCGUAAUGACACCCAUAAUGACAUCACAAUACCCCAUAAUGACAUCACAAUACCCCAUAAUGACAGUGAAAACAGUUUGUUUUUUAUUUAUUUAAAAUAAACUCAUCACAUUUACAUCAGUAUUCAGACCCUUUACUCAGUACUUGAAGCACCUUUGGCAGUGAAUACAGCCUCAAGUCUUCUUGGGUAUGACACUACAAGCUUGGCACACCUGUAUUUGGGGAGUUUCUCCCCUUCUCUGCAGAUCCUCUCAAGCUCUGUCAGGUUGGAUGGGGAACGUCGCUGCACAGCU